AUGCCCUCGACACCGCCGUGGACAAAUGUGGCGGAGGGAUUGUUAAUGGAGUACGAGAAGGAGGUGGCGGAGAAGGUGUGGAGAGGCAGGAGGUCUGGGAUGAUGUCACCUGGCUAUGGUGGAGGUGUUUAUCCGACAAGGAGCCGGAGUGGAAGGAGAGGUCACAAUUGGAAAGAAUCACAAAAAAGAAAGUUUGCAAAUGUUAAGAAACUAUUUAUUGGGAGGAAAGUUGUGACGUGUCUGUUAUUUGUUUCCUAA
rnacentral:rRNA from 1 species